UUUUAUUUGAGAGUUUGAUCCUGGCUCAGGAUGAACGCUGGCGGCGUGCCUAACACAUGCAAGUUGAGCGAUUUACUUCGGUAAAGAGCGGCGGACGGGUGAGUAACGCGUGGGUAACCUACCCUGUACACACGGAUAACAUACCGAAAGGUAUGCUAAUACGGGAUAAUAUAUUUGAGAGGCAUCUCUUGAAUAUCAAAGGUGAGCCAGUACAGGAUGGACCCGCGUCUGAUUAGCUAGUUGGUAAGGUAACGGCUUACCAAGGCGACGAUCAGUAGCCGACCUGAGAGGGUGAUCGGCCACAUUGGAACUGAGACACGGUCCAAACUCCUACGGGAGGCAGCAGUGGGGAAUAUUGCACAAUGGGCGAAAGCCUGAUGCAGCAACGCCGCGUGAGUGAUGAAGGCCUUCGGGUCGUAAAACUCUGUCCUC
rnacentral:rRNA from 1 species